GGUGACUAGUGACAGAGUGAGGGAGUGACUGGUGACAGAGGAAGGUAGUGACUAGUGACAGAGUGAGGGAGGGGGUGACCCCAUCCCUCUCUCUGUCACUAGUCACGCCCUCUCUAACUCUGUCACUGUGUCACCCACUCCCUCACUCUGUCACUAGUCACCCCAUCCCUCUCUCUGUCACUAGUCACUCCCUCCCUAACUCUGUCACUGUGUCACCCACUCCCUCACUCUGUCACUAGUCACCC